GGAAGUGAAUUAUAACACAUCUAAGAAAUCAAGCCCUGAUUCUGAAGAACUUCUUAAACUGAUUGUCCUUCCAACCAAAAACUUCUGUCUAUGAUUAGAUAGUUGUGAUUGUAUUAAGCGAGCUGAAAAUGCAAUUCCUCAAGCUCUGAACAUUUCUGAAUUGUGAGUACCAAAAGUAUUGAUAGAUUUACUAUCAUCCUGUGACAAUUUA
rnacentral:lncRNA from 12 species